AGAACGAACGCUGGCGGCAGGCUUAACACAUGCAAGUCGAGCGCUGUAGCAAUACAGAGCGGCAGACGGGUGAGUAACGCGUGGGAACAUACCCCAAGGUUCGGAAUAACUCAGGGAAACUUGAGCUAAUACCGGAUAUCUCCGAGAGGAGAAAGAUUUAUCGCCAUGGGAUUGGCCCGCGUUCGAUUAGCUAGUUGGUGUGGUAAUGGCGCACCAAGGCGACGAUCGAUAGCUGGUCUGAGAGGAUGAUCAGCCACAUUGGGACUGAGACACGGCCCAAAACUCCUACGGGAGGCAGCAGUGGAGAAUAUUGGACAAUGGGCGCAAGCCUGAUCCAGCCAUGCCGCGUGAGUGAUGACGGCCCUAGGGUUGUAAAAGCUCUUUCACCCACGACGAUAAAUGACGGUAGUGGGAGAAAGAAGCCCCGGCUAAACUUCGUGCCAGCAGCCGCGGUAAA
rnacentral:rRNA from 1 species